GAUGAACGCUGGCGGCGUGCCUAAUACAUGCAAGUCGAGCGAACGGACGAGAAGCUUGCUUCUCUGAUGUUAGCGGCGGACGGGUGAGUAACACGUGGAUAACCUACCUAUAAGACUGGGAUAACUUCGGGAAACCGGAGCUAAUACCGGAUAAUAUUUUGAACCGCAUGGUUCAAAAGUGAAAGACGGUCUUGCUGUCACUUAUAGAUGGAUCCGCGCUGCAUUAGCUAGUUGGUAAGGUAACGGCUUACCAAGGCAACGAUGCAUAGCCGACCUGAGAGGGUGAUCGGCCACACUGGAACUGAGACACGGUCCAGACUCCUACGGGAGGCAGCAGUAGGGAAUCUUCCGCAAUGGGCGAAAGCCUGACGGAGCAACGCCGCGUGAGUGAUGAAGGUCUUCGGAUCGUAAAACUCUGUUAUUAGGGAAGAACAUAUGUGUAAGUAACUGUGCACAUCUGGACGGUACCUAAGCAGAAAGCCACGGCUAACUACGC
rnacentral:rRNA from 1 species